UACAGAGGGGGCAAGCGUUGUUCGGAAUUACUGGGCGUAAAGGGCGCGUAGGCGGCCUGUUAGGUCGAACGUGAAAUCCCCGGGCUCAACCCGGGAACUGCGUCCGAUACUGGCAGGCUUGAAUCCGGGAGAGGGAUGUGGAAUUCCAGGUGUAGCGGUGAAAUGCGUAGAUAUCUGGAGGAACACCGGUGGCGAAGGCGGCAUCCUGGACCGGUAUUGACGCUGAGGCGCGAAAGCCAGGGGAGCAAACGGG
rnacentral:rRNA from 1 species